rnacentral:rRNA from 1 species
CGUAGGGGGCGAGCGUUGUCCGGAUUUACUGGGCGUAAAGCGCGCGUAGGCGGCUCGUUAAGUCGGUGGUGAAAUCCCGGGGCUCAACCCCGCGGACUGCCUCCGAUACUGGCGGGCUCGAGGAAGGUAGGGGAGAGUGGAAUUCCUGGUGUAGCGGUGAAAUGCGCAGAUACCAGGAGGAACACCGGUGGCGAAGGCGGCUCUCUGGGCCUGUCCUGACGCUGAGGCGCGAAAGCUAGGGGAGCAAACAGGAUUAGAUACCCUGGUAGUCCUAGCCGUAAACGUUGGGUGCUAGGUGUGGGCCGGCGAUCGACCCGGUCUGUGCCGAAGCUAACGCAUUAAGCACCCCGCCUGGGGAGUACGGCCGCAAGGCUA